rnacentral:rRNA from 1 species
UAUUGGACAAUGGGGGGAACCCUGAUCCAGCGACGCCGCGUGAGUGAAGAAGUAUUUCGGUAUGUAAAGCUCUAUCAGCAGGGAAGAAAGAAAUGACGGUACCCGACUAAGAAGCCCCGGCCAACUACGUCCCAGCAGCCGCGGUAAUACGUAGGGGGCAAGCGUUAUCCGGAUUUACUGGGUGUAAAGGGAGCGUAGACGGCGAUGCAAGUCUGAAGUGAAAGGCGGGGGCCCAACCCCCGGACUGCUUUGGAAACUGUGCUGCUGGAGUGCAGGAGAGGUAAGUGGAAUUCCUAGUGUAGCGGUGAAAUGCGUAGAUAUUAGGAGGAACACCAGUGGCGAAGGCGGCUUACUGGACUGUAACUGACGUUGAGGCUCGAAAGCGCGGGGAGCAAACAG